rnacentral:rRNA from 1 species
GAUGAACGCUGGCGGCGUGCCUAAUACAUGCAAGUCGAGCGGCCUCACAAGAAGCUUGCUCUUUUAAAGUUAGCGGCGGACGGGUGAGUAACACGUGGAUAACCUUCCUCUAAUACGGGGAUAACUACGGGAAACCGGGGCUACUACCGGCUCAUAUCUCCUACCGCAUGAAGCAAGGGUGAUAGGCGGCUUUCGCGGCUGCUUGAGCAGGUGCCGGGGUAGCUUUAGUUAGUGGGGGAGGCAACGGCCCACCAAGGGGACGAGCCGUACCGGGCCGGAGGGGUGGAUCGGCCACACUGGAACGGAGACACGGUCCAGACUCCUACGGGAGGCAGCAGUGGGGAAUCUUCGCCAAUGGGCGAAAGCCUGAUGCAGCAAGCCCGCGUGGGUGAAGAAGGCCUUCGGGUUGUAAAGCCCUUUUGUUGGGAAAGAAAAGUAGCGUGUGAACAGCCCGGUGUCUUGACGGUACCUAAACAGAAAGCCCCGGCUAACUACGUG